rnacentral:rRNA from 1 species
UACGUAGGCAGCAAGUGUUGUUCGGAGUUACUGGGCGUAAAGGGUGCGUAGGCGGCUUUUUAAGUUUGGUGUGAAAUCUCCCGGCUCAACUGGGAGGGUGCGCCGAAUACUGAGUGGCUAGAGUGUGGGAGAGGAAAGUGGAAUUCCUGGUGUAGCGGUGAAAUGCGUAGAUAUCAGGAGGAACACCGGUGGUGUAAACGGCUUUCUGGACCAUAACUGACGCUGAGGCACGAAAGCGUGGGUAGCAAACAGG